CUACAUGAAGCUGGAAUCGCUAGUAAUCGCAGAUCAGAAUGCUGCGGUGAAUACGUUCCCGGGUCUUGUACACACCGCCCGUCACACCAUGGGAGUCGGAAAUGCCCGAAGCCAGUGACCCAACCUUAAGGAGGGAGCUGUCGAAGGUGGAGCCGAUAACUGGGGUGAAGUCGUAACAAGGUAAC
rnacentral:rRNA from 1 species